rnacentral:rRNA from 1 species
GACGUAGGGGGCGAGCGUUGUCCGGAUUUACUGGGCGUAAAGGGCUCGUAGGCUGCCAACUAAGUCGGACGUGAAAUCCCUCGGCUUAACCGGGGAACUGCGUCCGAUACUGGAUGGCUUGAGUUUGGGAGAGGGAUGCGGAAUUCCAGGUGUAGCGGUGAAAUGCGUAGAUAUCUGGAGGAACACCGGUGGCGAAGGCGGCAUUCUGGACUGCAACUGACACUGAUGAACGAAAGCCAGGGGAGCAAACGGG